rnacentral:rRNA from 1 species
AUGGCCGUCGUCAGUUCGUACUGUGAAGCAUCCUGUUAAGUCAGGCACGAGCGAGACCCACGUCCACAGUUGCCAGCAUACCCCUCCGGGGUGAUGGGUACACUGUGGAGACCGCCGCUGCUAAAGCGGAGGAAGGAGUGGGCAACGGUAGGUCAGUAUGCCCCGAAUCUCCCGGGCUACACGCGGGCUACAAUGGUUGGUACAAUGGGCAUCUACCCCGAAAGGGGAAGGAAAUCUCUUAAAGCCAAUCGUAGUUCGGAUUGAGGGCUGCAACUCGCCCUCAUGAAGCUGGAAUCCGUAGUAAUCGCGUUUCAACAGAACGCGGUGAAUACGUCCCUGCUCCUU